rnacentral:tRNA from 1 species
CGGGAUGUGGCUCAGUUUGGUAGAGCGCCUGGUUUGGGACCAGGAUGCCGCAGGUUCGAAUCCUGUCAUCCCGACCA